GCAGCUUGGAGGAGGCAUCGUAUUUUCAAGAAUGGUUUCUAAAGGUUGUUGUAGCUUGGCAAGUGCAUGAUAGAAUUUCUUCAGAAGGUCUCUUGAAGGAAGAGUGUCAAGAUUCUCGUAGCCGAUAGGGAGCCCAACUCCUUGGCUAGGAAAUGGGAUUUGUACAAGAUUAAUUGAGAGGCCUGCAGAUUCUCUUGCUCUAUAAAUGACCUCCUCAAAUCUUGAUGCAUUGUGAGGGGUAGUG
rnacentral:misc_RNA from 1 species